rnacentral:tRNA from 1 species
CCUGGCAGUCCAGUGGUUAAGACUCUGUACUUUCAGUGCAGGGGGCAGGGUUCAAUCCCUGGUCAGGA